rnacentral:lncRNA from 1 species
UUUCUUUCCCACCGGCAGUGUAUGAGAGUUCCUUUUUCUCACAUCCUUACCAGCAUUUUCUUUUUUUUUUUCUUAAAAGAAGAAGAAAAAGAAGAAGAAGAAAAGAAAUCCUAGCCUAUGCUAUAUUUGUUGGGUCCUGUAAAAUGUAUUCCCCAUGGGUGAGGCCAGGGAUGGCUCAGUAUGAUCUCAGAACUCGUCAGCCUAAGAACGCAGCCAAUGGCAGAAAGCCCGAAAGGGACUCAGCAGUCCAAAACCGAAAAAAAAGACUCAGUGAUCUGAAAGGCAGCGAGAAGAAACCGCUGAAGGCUUAAAGCCGAAACACACUACUCUGAGUGCAGCAGCUUCAGCAUGCCCUUUCAUAGCAGGUGCAAAGCUUGUCAGAACCCCAAGUACAAAGGAGUCACCAAAUCUACAAGUGAAAUCACUGCAUGACCAUUCUGAAAGGACACACAAGAAAGUGGAAACAGCAUCUACUUUGAGGACUGGAUGACACUAGAGAGAAACAUGAGACAUAACUGCUCAGUAGCUGAACAGCAAACACCUUCCACCCUGCCUCCAUGAACAUGUCUAGAAGAUGCCAUCAUUCCUCUUUCUAAGUAUCCCCAGACUGUGCUUCUCAUAGUAGCAUGACUCAGCACUUACAGGUAUUUCAGUUUUGUGACUGAAUAACACAGCAAGUCUCAAGAAGAAAAAAUAUGGGGCAGGAAAGGUGCUUGCUGCCAAGUUGGAAAACCUGAUCCCAGAGCCCCACAUGGUGGAGAAAGAGACCUGACCCUGGCAAGUUGUCCUCUGACCUCUACAUGCUCCUG